AAGAUUUAAACCACUCUGCAGUGUUGGUGUUUCAUUCCGUCGCCAGCAUCUGGCGCCCAACGUGGGGCACGACGGAACCGAAAGGGCUUAAGAUCAAUAGCAGAUGUGUGGAGAAGCGCUCAACCUUUGUCAUGCCAAUUGUCUAAUGGAAAAAAAGUAUUUAUUUCUUUUUACAUUGUUAAUGUACCUAUUAAUAUCUGGGGAAGAGAUCUUUUAUUUUCUUUAGAAACAACGCUCACCAUCUCGUCGGAAAACUUGUAGCCACUGCUCAAAUUCCUCGAGCUCUCCCAUUGAAAUGGUUAACUGAUGUCCCUAAAUGGGUUGAGCAGUGGCCGCUUCCAAAAGUGAAGCUCGAGGCUUUAGAACAAUUAGUAAAAGAACAGCUUCAAUCUGGCCAUAUUGAACCUUCUACGUCUCCUUGGAAUUCUCCUGUUUCGGUCAUUAAGAAAAAAUCUGGUAAAUGGAAAAUGUUGACUGAUUUAAGGGAAGUUAACAAAUGUAUAAAACCUAUGGGAGCUUUGCAAUUAGGUCUCCCUUCUCCUGCUUUGAUUCCACAGGAUUGGUCUUUGAUGGUUUUAGAUUUGAAAGAUUGUUUUUUUAAUAUUCCUUUGCAAAUAAAAGAUUAAAAUAAAUUUGUUUUUACUAUUCCAGUGUAUAAUCAUGGGCAGUGUCAGGUGACCUUACUAUAUGGAUGGAAAACUUUACUUUAAAUAUUAAUGAUCCUAAAGGGCCAUUUCAAGUUCAUUUCAUAUUAAUAAAUCUUACUCUGCUAUAGCAUGUGUAAAAUUUCCUUAUUCUUUACUGUAUGGGCAAUAGAUUUAAAAUGAAAUUUUGGGAGUUAUAUCAUGUUCGGAUUGUAACUUGACUCAAUGUAUAAACCGUUCCUGGUGGGAAAAUGUUGAAAACAAGAUGGUCCAUUCCAGUAAUCACUCUUCGGUCACUGUGAAAGCACGGGCUGACUCUGGUUGCCUGCGAAUCUCACUCGGCCGUGGUCGGGCUCUUUUGCUGUCGCUCCUCUUGUGAACGCUGUGCAAACUCUUCUCCAUCGAUCUCGAAGAAUGCUUGGCAUUGUCAUCGCAUCAAUUCUCGCCGUGGCUUCAGUAACAGCAACAGCAACUGUAGCAGGUCUUGCUUUGCGUCAAGGCAUACAGACUGCUGAUUUUGUCAGAAAAUGGCAUAAAGAUGCUCAUUUAUUGUGGCAACAACAGCAUGAUUUGGACGCUCAAUUGGCUACUGAUGUAUUGAAUUUACAACACACUGUUUCCUGGUUAGGAGAUCAAGUGACUGUGUUAGCUACAAAGAGUGUGUUAAAAUGUGAUUGGAACUCAUCUCACCUAUGUGUAACUCCUGUUCCCUUUAAUAUGAGUGAGGGUUGGGAAAAGGUAAAAAGGUCUUUAGUGGGACACCAAAAUUUAACUGCUGAAAUUAUGAAAUUGAAACAAACUAUAUUGUCAACUUUUAGUAAGACGCUGCCUGGUAUUCUUGGUUCUGAUAUACUGAAGAGUCUUCAAAAAGGAUUAGAUAACCUUAAUCCUUUAGGGCAUGUAUCUACAUUGUUAA